rnacentral:misc_RNA from 1 species
GUUGGUGAACCAGCGGAGGGAUCAUUAUCGAGUUUACAACUCCCAAACCCUAUGUGAACAUACCUACUGUUGCUUCGGCGGACUCGCCCCGGCGUCCGGACGGCCUCGCGCCGCCCGCGGCCCGGACCCAGGCGGCCGCCGGAGACCCCCAAACUCUGUAUUAUCAGCAUCUUCUGAAUACGCCGCAAGGCAACACAAAUGAAUCAAAACUUUCAACAACGGAUCUCUUGGUUCUG